rnacentral:rRNA from 1 species
GAUGAACGCUGGCGGCGUGCCUAAUACAUGCAAGUCGAGCGAACGGACGAGAAGCUUGCUUCUCUGAUGUUAGCGGCGGACGGGUGAGUAACACGUGGAUAACCUACCUAUAAGACUGGGAUAACUUCGGGAAACCGGAGCUAAUACCGGAUAAUAUUUUGAACCGCAUGGUUCAAAAGUGAAAGACGGUCUUGCUGUCACUUAUAGAUGGAUCCGCGCUGCAUUAGCUAGUUGGUAAGGUAACGGCUUACCAAGGCAACGAUGCAUAGCCGACCUGAGAGGGUGAUCGGCCACACUGGAACUGAGACACGGUCCAGACUCCUACGGGAGGCAGCAGUGGGGAAUCUUCCGCAAAGGGCGAAAGCCUGACGGAGCAACGCCGCGUGAGUGAUGAAGGUCUUCGGAUCCUAAAACUCUGUUAUUAGGGAAGAACAAAUGUGUAAGUAACUAUGCACGUCUUGACGGUACCUAAUCAGAAAGCCACGGCUAACUUCGUG